GUUGAGAUGCAGUGAUGCUUCUUGAUAGUUUCUCCUCUAUUUCUCCUUUGUAGACUUGGCGCGGGCCCACAAAUCCCGCGCAUUUUU
rnacentral:ncRNA from 1 species